rnacentral:rRNA from 1 species
GGGCCCGCACAAGCGGUGGAGCAUGUGGUUUAAUUCGAUGAUACGCGAGGAACCUUACCAGGGCUUAAAUGUAGUAUGACCGGCUUGGAAACAGGCCUUCUCUUCGGAGCAGAUUACAAGGUGCUGCAUGGUUGUCGUCAGCUCGUGCCGUGAGGUGUUAGGUUAAGUCCUGCAACGAGCGCAACCCCUAUUCUUAGUUGCCAGCGGUUCGGCCGGGGACUCUAAGAAGACUGCCAGCGCAAGCUGAGAGGAAGGUGGGGAUGACGUCAAGUCCUCAUGGCCCUUACGGGUUGGGCUACACACGUGCUACAAUGGCCGGUACAGAGAGCAGCCACUACGCGAGUAGGAG